CUUUGUAUGAAAGUUUGGCUACCAACUGCACUAUGACGGAGCGGAUAGCGGCAGUGGCAGCGCCGACAGGACUACAGUAGACGAGUUGAACGACUGAAUGAAUCAUUCUCCAUAGUGAAAUGCGUCUCCAUCAUUCGACCAUCAUUGUCAGCAGCUGGUAUGACGUCAAAUGCACUAAUUUUGUAAAUAAAAUAUUUAAAAUGUAUUAAUUCUGUAAAUAUUUUGUGGAUGCAUUUUUGUUGUAAUUUUUUCUAAAAAUGUACUAGAAAAUGUAAAUAACCCAAAAAAUAAUUCGAAUAAAAAUACGAGUAGAAUUUGAGCAAUGUUAUAUUCGACUCGUUUAGAAUUCAAACUACUCAAAUUCUUGAUUGUGAUUCGAUACAUACUCAGUUAAUAUAUAUUGGAGUGGAUACUCAAUACAUUCUCUUAUAAUAUGUAAAUAAAAUUAAGAUAAUUAGUUAUUAUUUUUUAUUUUAUUUUAAAUUUUUAUUAUGAUUUUAUAUUUAUAAAGUGUAAUUGUAAAAUAAUUAUAUGUAUUAUAAAAUUAGUCACUAUGUGGAGACUUAAAUUUGAAACUUGCGAGUAAUUUGAAUAUAAUUCGAUCCGAGUCAGACCAAAUUCGAGUAAUGAAUAUUCGUGCCGAGUUGAAUUGAAUAAAACUUUUUCAAAUACAUUCUAAUCUGAGUCAAAUUCAAGUAUGAAUUUAACUUUUUAAAUCGAAUGUACAGCUUUCUGUUCGAUUCAAUUUACCUCGUUUACACACUUAACUUCUGAGUAAAACUUUUUCAAAUAUAAUUCUAAUUUAAGUCGAAUUUGAUUAUGAAUUUAACUUUUCAAGUCGAAUUCGAACAGCUUUUUGUUCGAUUCAAUUUAACUUUUUUACUCCCUUAACUGUAUGCUAAUAGGAUAGAAAAACAUAUGAAUAUCAAAAAUAUAUAUAUAGAAAUAACAAUUUCUAAAAUUUAAUUAGUAAUGGGUGAUUAAUAGUCAUAAAAGAAUAAUUUUAAAUGGGCUGUAAAUGGAUUUGAAUAAAACUCACCAACCCAAAUAUAUCCCAUAAUUCAAAUUUCUUUUAUUUUUUUCUUUAAGACAAUAUCAAAACUUUAAUUUUGGAUAUGAUAAACGCGUCUUGGUCGGCUGCUUUUAAUUUAUUUUCUAAUUUCGUUCUCACUCUCUUCCUAAUAGAACACAUUUAAUACUUGGAAAAAAAGAAAAAGAAAUUUGUUCUUACUUGAGAUCUACUCCACCAGAUUAAAGGAAACCCUUUUUGGAACCAAACCCAUUUAAAUCUUGUAAUUCUUCAUUCACCCACACCGUCAUCGGAUCCUCCUUGACCUAUCAAUGUUCGUCGGUCGUGUUUUAUUUGGGUUUCUUG
rnacentral:lncRNA from 1 species